UUUGCAUCAGCCAAACAGAUGCUCCAGUUUAGGGGGUUAUCUGUUGGAGCCUUUGAGUUUUUAUAUUUGGUGAUCUUUUAAUACCGUGACACAAUAUUUCCACAGAACAUGACAAGAUUUUGAGCUCACUGCAAGUGUUUUCCUUCCUUCUCCAUUGCGCUUUAGAGUUGUGCAUGCAUGCGUGUGUGUGUGAGAGAGAGAGAGAGAGGUCUGGUGUUGUGUAACUAUAAUGUUGUGCACAGCUGCUCAAACACACACACACACAUACGCACACACACUCAGAUCUUAUUCACAAGCACGCAUCCAGAUGGCUGAGAGGGGAAGUCAAGAGAAGAAAAGCCACAUCUGAGUGUACAUCAUGUUCACAUUUUCUUGGAUGUUGAUCUCUGAGCAUCUGAACGACUCCGGUUUAAGUUUUGAGUUCAGUUUUUGACAAUUCUCCUGAAUCCUGGACGUGUUUUUGUUUUGAGUUUGCAUGUGGAGGAUAAAGUGUAACUGUCUGUGCGGGUGGCCAAGCUAAAAAAUGACAGCAAUGCUCUGCUCUGUAGUCUAACGUUUUAACCCGACCAUGGGGAUCUCUGGGAGCAGAGGGAAAAAAGUGGCACCUGCGUCUGUGAGAGAGGGAGACCCAAGCUCCACUGUUAGUGUUUCUUGGAAAAACAUUCGGAAGGAUCUUCUCAGCAACAAGCAAGUCACACAGUUUUCAACAGAUGGUAGAAACCUGGCAGGGGAAGUGGACCGAAUUCUCAAGGAAUGUGAAGACACGCAGGACGUGAAGAGAGGUUUUCCGAAAAGUCCGUUGUACAUGUGCAAAAAUUACACCUUCUGUUACAACCAAAGAGAUCAGCAUGACACAGACGUUGAGAGCACACACACUGCUGACAUUAUUCUACCCACUGAUCUACUCAAGCCUGGCAGAUUUGAAGACAAAAAGGAUAUCUGUACCUUCAAUAAACUAAACAUGCCCCGGAAACAGACUGCAGUGACAGCACUGAGAGCAGAUCUGGUGUAUACAAAGACAACACAUGUUCCUGGUGUUUGUGAUGACAUUUCGCUGGCUUUGCCUGUGUCAUAUGAUGCUUCUGAAGAAGACUUGAUGAGUGCAAUAGAGAGAGAAUUUGGAUAGCAUAAUAAUGAGGCAGUUUAUCUUGGAUGCAAAUUUGUAAAGCAAAUACUUGCUUUACAAAACCCAAACAGUAUCUUAAUGCAAAAAAUACAGAUGUCUGUUUUAUAUAAAUCCUGCUCUCUGUAAAUUCUGGCUUUAAAUAUGUCUUUCUAUUUGCCAAAAUGCUUGUUAUGUACUUGUAUUGUACUGUGUUGUGUUGUAUUGUAUUAUAUUGUGUUGUACUUUUUUUCCACUUGCAUGCAAAGCCUUCAAUCAGAUGAAUUCUUUUUGAUAUGCAUUACACAGGAGAUAGAAUUCAGUAUUUCCAUGGCCACAAAAUAAUUUCAGGGGGAAAAAUGUGCGUGUCUGGAAUGUAUGUUUAAGUACCAUUUCCUGGCCGCAGUUUAUGUGGAGCUCUCCACCCCUCAGUAGUGGAAUGCACAUUGACAUGGUUUGGGAUGUAGUUCCUAAAUGAAGGCCCCUUUUCUCCAUCGCAACUGCACUGUGAUGUGAAUCACACAUUGAUACCAAAAACCCACAGAUGUGGUUAUGGGUAGGAAUAAAUCAUCCAAGCGAAUCUUCAUAGUGGAGCUUCAGUUUGAAUUAUGCUCACUAGUAUAGUUUAUAGUUUGUUUUUGUUGCUGGUAGAUGAAAUUACAUUUUAUUUAAUCUUUGAUGGAUCCUCUAAUGAUAGCCUUUAAACAGGUAUUUUGAUUAUUCAGUUUAUACAGUAAGUAAGACUUACUGUAAUGUUUAGUUACAUAUGUCAAAUUGAUAUUAUAUAAAUGCAUAAAAGCAGUUUACUCACCCGCAUACUCUCUCAGACAUGCGCUCAGGUCAGGACUGUAGAUUAAGAAUGCAACAUACAGUAUAGCUUUCUUUCUUUCUUUAUUGAUUUGAUCUCAAUAGGACAGUUCCAGUUCAAACUGAAGAAGAUAUAUUUUGCUGCUUUAUUCAGAAGGAUUUUGCUGCUCACUUAGCUGGUCGAAGAGAAUCUAUGUAUGUAUGUAUUUUUACUUCUUAUUUUUCAAACAUUGUUAUAUGUAGUGCCCUAGUGUUUAGAGCAUACGGUUAGCUUUGUAUUUCUGGAGAUUGUAUUUAGACUUUAAACGUCAUAAACGUUGUGUUUGUUUGUGAAAAUUGUCUUGAUGGACAAAACAUGUUAGUGUUGUACAUUUUUGUUGAUUACAUAGACUUGCACCCCGUCCAGGGUGUCCCCCGCCUUGUGCCCCAUGCCUCUUGGGAUAGGCUCCAGAUUCCCACGACCCAGUAAGGAUAAGCGGGUACAUGGAUGGAUGGAUAUAUAAUAUUAUAUUGUUAUUAUAUUAUAUUAUAUUAUAUUAUAUACUUAUAUUAUAUUCUUCAAUUAUAUUGUAUACUUUGAUCAUAUUAUAUACUUCGAUUAUAUUAUAUUAUAGACUUCGAUAAACAUUUUUCCACACUUUUCAAAUUCUUAUGUUAUGUACGUGUGAAAUAAUUAGUAAAUGUCCCUUAAGAGAGUAAAAUGAAUAUAGAGCACAGCACGGUUUAGUCCACAGGGUGUCGCUGUUCCUGGACCGCUGACCGGUACUGUAGUAAACACGGCGAGUAAAAGGCGGGGGGCGGGGUGUCGCUUCUGAAAUCUGAUUGGUCGCGCCUAUCAGCGCUUCCGUAAACCACGCCGGUCAAUUGGUCUGUAAAUAACGUCGUUACUGGGUGUGUAAGGGAUUUACCCGUUUUCUAUACCGAAUAUAAAGAAGAGAAGAAAAGUCUCUUCAGCCUCAAAAUCUGAUCUCUGGGGAAGUGAAGUGUCUAAUAUGAUGCCUAUAUAAAACAGUGACUAUUUUUGGUUGCUUUUUUUCUUCCAAGACACUACGUGUGAAUAAGGUUUAUUUGUUAAUUGAAUAAUUUAGUGUUUGCCCUUUAAGUGAUGUUUAUAAGGUUUAUAAAGGAAAUCGGUGUAUAUAAAAAUGAGACGGACCUAUAUAACCCGGG
ensembl:lncRNA